NNAUCUUCUCGGCUAUUUAGCUAAGAUCAAGUUUUUAAACUG
rnacentral:snRNA from 1 species